rnacentral:misc_RNA from 1 species
UCUCUUCUUGAUCACUGCU